UGGAGCUGGCCUCAGGACUGCAGGCUAGAGGACCAGGCUGGGGCCUUGGAAGUCACUGGCAAACUAUCUGUGACGUCCCACUCUUCUAUGUGUUGUCUUCCUUCGCCCUGUGUCUUCAGCUCUUCUGCCACCCAAGGAGGUUGGGCCCACUGUCCCAAAUUUCAUUUGAAAACCCCUAGAGGAGAGCUCUUGUGGCUCUCCUGGGCAGGGCUCCCAUUCCUGGGCCUGGCAGUCAGGCUCAGGUGGCUGAGAAGGUAGUGGACAUUCAGACUGAACUGAACGUGCUCACCAUCCUUCAAAAUAAGGAGAGGGUCAGGUUGGAGAAACUGGCAAAAA